rnacentral:rRNA from 1 species
CCGUAGCCCAAGAGAUCGGGAUAACACCUGGAAACAGAUGCUAAUACCGGAUAACAACAGAUGAUGCCUAUCAACUGUUUAAAAGAUGGUUCUGCUAUCACUCUUGGAUGGACCUGCGGUGCAUUAGCUAGUUGGUAGGGUAACGGCCUACCAAGGCGAUGAUGCAUAGCCGAGUUGAGAGACUGAUCGGCCACAUUGGGACUGAGACACGGCCCAAACUCCUACGGGAGGCAGCAGAA